rnacentral:rRNA from 1 species
AUUGAACGCUGGCGGCAUGCCUAACACAUGCAAGUCGAGCGAGCGGCGGACGGGUGAGUAAUGUCUGGUAAACUGCCUGAUGGCGAGGGAUAACUACUGGAAACGGUAGCUACUACCGCAUAACAUCAGAUGUGCGCAGAUGGUAUUAGCUAGUAGGUGGGGAAACGGCUCACCUAGGCAACGAUCCCUAGCGGGUCUGAGAGGAUGAACAGCCACACUGGAACUGAGACACGGCCCAGACGCCUACGGGAGGCAGCAGUGGGGAAUAUUGCACAAUGGGCGCAAGUCUGAUGCAGCAAUGCCGCGUGUGUGAAGAAGGCCUUCGGGUCGUAAAGCACUUUCAUCGGGGAGGCGGUAUCCGCAGAAGAAGCACCGGCUAACUCCGUGCCAGCAGCCGCGGUAAUUC